rnacentral:rRNA from 1 species
AGCGAACGCUGGCGGCAGGCCUAACACAUGCAAGUCGAACGAACCUUUCGGGGUUAGUGGCGGACGGGUGAGUAACACGUGGGAACGUGCCUUUAGGUUCGGAAUAACUCAGGGAAACUUGUGCUAAUACCGAAUGUGCCCUUCGGGGGAAAGAUUUAUCGCCUUUAGAGCGGCCCGUGUCUGAUUAGCUAGUUGGUUGAGGUAAUGGCUCACCAAGGCGACGAUCAGUAGCUGGUCUGAGAGGAUGAUCAGCCACAUUGGGACUGAGACACGGCCCAAACUCCUACGGGAGGCAGCAGUGGGGAAUCUUGCGCAAUGGGCGAAAGCCUGACGCAGCCAUGCCGCGUGAAUGAUGAAGGUCUUAGGAUUGUAAAAUUCUUUCUCCGGGGACGAUAAUGACAGUACCCGGAGAAGAAGCCCCGGCUAACUUCGUG